CGCUGCAUGUUGGUCUUCUGCU
rnacentral:miRNA from 1 species